rnacentral:rRNA from 1 species
AUCUACGGGCAUACCACCCUGAACCCACCCGAUUUCGUCUGAUGUCGGACGCUAAGCAGUGUGGGGCCUGGUUAGUACUUGAAUGGGAGACCGCCUGGGAAUACCGGGUGCUGUAGGCU